rnacentral:rRNA from 1 species
GUGUUCCUACGGGACGCAGCAGUGGGGGAUAUUGCACAAUGGGGGAAACCCUGAUGCAGCGACGCCGCGUGUGGGAAGACGGUCCUCUGGAUUGUAAACCACUGUCCCCAGGGACGAAAAUGACGGUACCUGGGGAGGAAGCUCCGGCUAACUACGUGCCAGCAGCCGCGGUAAUACGUAGGGAGCGAGCGUUGUCCGGAAUUACUGGGUGUAAAGGGAGCGUAGGCGGGGACGCAAGUUGGGUGUCAACACUACCGGCUCAACUGGUAGUCGCACUCAACACUG